rnacentral:rRNA from 1 species
CAUGCAAGUCGAACGCUUCCUGAGUGGCCUGCCAUUCAGGAAGAGUGGCGAACGGGUGAGUAACACGUGAGUAAUCUUCCCUCGAGUGAGGAACAACCCCGCGAAAGCGGGGCUAAUACCGCAUAAUACUCUGGGGUAUAAGCUUUCAGAGUCAAAGCCGCAGGGCGCUUGAGGAUGAGCUUGCGUCCUAUUAGCUAGUUGGUAGGGUAACGGCCUACCAAGGUAAUGAUGGGUAGCCGGCCUGAGAGGGUGUACGGCCACACUGGGACUGGGACACGGCCCAGACUCCUACGGGAGGCAGCAGUGAGGAAUUUUGCGCAAUGGGCGAAAGCCUGACGCAGCGACGCCGCGUGGAGGAUGAAGGCCUUCGGGUUGUAAACUCCUGUCAGAGGAGAAGAAAUCCCGAGUAAUCGGGUUUGACGG